rnacentral:rRNA from 1 species
GAGGGGCAUCAGGAAGAAAGCUUGCUUUCUUUGCUGGCGACCGGCGAACGGGUGAGUAACACGUAUCCAACCUGCCCUUUACUCGGGGAUAGCCUUUCGAAAGAAAGAUUAAUACCCGAUAGCAUAAUGAUUCCGCAUGGUUUCAUUAUUAAAGGAUUCCGGUAAAGGAUGGGGAUGCGUUCCAUUAGGUUGUUGGUGAGGUAACGGCCCACCAAGCCUUCGAUGGAUAGGGGUUCUGAGAGGAAGGUCCCCCACAUUGGAACUGAGACACGGUCCAAACUCCUACGGGAGGCAGCAGUGAGGAAUAUUGGUCAAUGGGCGUUAGCCUGAACCAGCCAAGUAGCGUGAAGGAUGAAGGCUCUAUGGGUCGUAAACUUCUUUUAUAUAAGAAUAAAGUGCAGUAUGUAUACUGUUUUGUAUGUAUUAUAUGAAUAAGGAUCGGCUAACUCCGUGCCAGCAGCCGCGGUAAUACGGAGGAUCCGAGCGUUAUCCGGAUUUAUUGGGUUUAAAGGGAGCGUAGGUGGACUGGUAAGUCAGUUGUGAAAGUUUGCGGCUCAACCGUAAAAUUGCAGUUGAUACUGUCAGUCUUGAGUACAGUAGAGGUGGGCGGAAUUCGUGGUGUAGCGGUGAAAUGCUUAGAUAUCACGAAGAACUCCGAUUGCGAAGGCAGCUCACUGGACUGCAACUGACACUGAUGCU